CUCAAUGUGGUCAUAUUUACUCCCCAGGCCCUUGUCGACAAGUAUGUCCAGCUGUUUCUCUUGGUGCAUCUUCUUCACCUGAACAGCUCCAAUGUCAGUUGGUUUUUUGAAUAACAAUGCCAGUUAGUUUAGUCUGACCGGUGAUCAGCUCCAGCAGCAGGAUUCCAAAACCAAAGACGUCGGUUUUCUCAGAUGACUGGCCAGUAGAGAGGUACUCAGGGGCUAUGUGGCCGACAGUUCCCCGCACAGCUGUGGUAACAUGUGAUUCACGGUGGUCUAGAAGCUUUGCAAGCCCAAAAUCCCCGACAAUGGCUUCACAACAAUCAUCUAGCAGUAUGUUUGCUGCCUUAACGUCUCUGUGGAUGAUCUUGGGAUCACAUUGCUCGUGCAGGUACAGUAGGCCUCUUGCUGCCCCAAGUGCUAUCCUCUUUCUGGUGACCCAGUCCAGUGGCGGCUGCCCUGUAGUUGAUUUGGUGAAAAAAGAAGUUAAUGUUCUGCUUGUUGGCUUGGGUGGUUGGGUUCGUCUUCAAUCAUACCCCGCAGCGCAAAGCGACGCUCCCAUUCGACAUGUAUGGAUAGACCAGUAGCCUCUCACUGGUAGUCAUGCAGAAUCCAUAGAGUCUGAGGAGGUUCCUGUGCACUGCCAAGCUGAUCAUCUCGACUUCAGUCUGAAACUGUGCUUCCCCGCCUGCAGCAUUACCAUCUUUGAGCCUCUUGACGGCUACAAGAGUUCCAUCUGGGAGCUGCCCUCGUAGUCAAUACAGUAAGAUCAAGCUGAAUUUUCACCAUUGGCAACUGAUGCCAUCGAGAUUGAUAGUCGAAGUACCGAGUUCAUGAAAUCGACGAGUAACUUAAGCAUUUUACUUACCAUCAACGUUGAAAAGAGUCUGUC